rnacentral:rRNA from 1 species
GAUGAACGCUGGCGGCGUGCUUAAUACAUGCAAGUAGAGCGGAAAGGCCCUUCGGGGUACUCGAGCGGCGGACGGGUGAGUAACGCGUAAGAAUGUACCCCACAGUGAGGAAUAAUUGCUCGAAAGAGUAGCUAAUGCCGCAUGUGCUCUUCGGCGGAAAGCUUUAUGCGCUUUGGGAACAGCUUGCGUCUGAUUAGCUAGUUGGUAAGGUAACGGCUUACCAAGGCGACGAUCAGUAGCUGGUCUGAGAGGAUGACCAGCCACACUGGGACUGAGACACGGCCCAGACUCCUACGGGAGGCAGCAGUAGGGAAUUUUCCACAAUGGGCGAGAGCCUGAUGGAGCAACGCAGCGUGCUAGAUGAAGGCCUUCGGGUCGUAAAUAGCUUUUGUCUGUGACGAAUAUUACGGUAGCAGACGAAUAAGGAUCGGCUAACUACGUGCCAGCAGCCGCCGUAA